ACAGCACUGGUCUCAGAUCAGAGACGCGAACUCAAUCACCUCAAACAGUGCGCGCAAACCCCGCCCACAUCUGAUCUGGAAACUUUUGUUUUUAGCCUGGACGUAACUUCGGCUAGCUAGUAUAGUUAGCCAACUAAUUCUCCACCGGCGCCACAGAAAUAUUCUUUUUAAACCCACUUGACUCCUCAUUAAUGGUGUUUACGACAGAACGGCAGUUUGAAGCGGAGCCUCAGCCCGCACACCUGCCGUUACAGCCCGUUCAAUCUCCCCCAACGGGAGGGAGUCGGAGCUGGCGGCCAUGAUGGCUUUGACUUCAGGCUUCUCUCCAGUAUUUUCGUGCACCAGAGUCAGAUGUGGGCGGAGCUAUGCGUACUGUUUGACGUGUUUGAGUUCGCGUCUCAGGCGACUGACCUGAAUGUACUACCAUUAUAACGGCACAACAAAGCAGAGAGGAAACCCCCCAGGGUUAUACCUCUCAUGAUGUCACUGGAGGUCUCAUUUAGACACCAGCAUCAUGGAGGCUAGGAGGUCUAAAAAUGUCACUGCAGAUGCCACUGUGGAGGUCCAGCAGUACCUUUCAGAGACAAAUAUUGGAAAACCCUCUGAAGUACUGGGAAAGGCAAAAACGACUCCAUCCAAACUAACCUCAAGGCCAGAGAGGUUGUGUCAAAAAAAGAAAUUGUUGAAACCAAAAAGUCUUCUUUCAGAAACUCUUCUUUUUGAGUAAAAAAUUAAAA